UGCAGUCGAGCGAAUGAUGAGGAGCUUGCUCCUCUGAUUUAGCGGCGGACGGGUGAGUAACACGUGGGUAAUCUGCCUGUAAGACGGGGAUAACUCCGGGAAACCGGGGCUAAUACCGGAUAAUAAGAGAAGAAGCAUUUCUUCUUUUUGAAAGUUGGUUUCGGCUGACACUUACAGAUGAGCCCGCGGCGCAUUAGCUAGUUGGUGAGGUAACGGCUCACCAAGGCGACGAUGCGUAGCCGACCUGAGAGGGUGAUCGGCCACACUGGGACUGAGACACGGCCCAGACUCCUACGGGAGGCAGCAGUAGGGAAUCUUCGGCAAUGGGCGAAAGCCUGACCGAGCAACGCCGCGUGAGCGAUGAAGGCCUUCGGGUCGUAAAGCUCUGUUGUUAGAGAAGAACAAGUACGAGAGUAACUGCUCGUACCUUGACGGUACCUAACCAGAAAGCCACGGCUAACUACGUGCCAGCAGCCGCGGUAAUACGUAGGUGGCAAGCGUUAUCCGGAAUUAUUGGGCGUAAAGCGCGCGCAGGCGGUCUCUUAAGUCUGAUGUGAAAGCCCACGGCUCAACCGUGGAGGGUCAUUGGAAACUGGGAGACUUGAGUGCAGGA
rnacentral:rRNA from 1 species